UACGUAGGGGGCAAGCGUUGUCCGGAUUUAUUGGGCGUAAAGAGCGUGUAGGCGGCCAGAUAGGUCUGCUGUGAAAACUCGAGGCUUAACCUCGAGAUGUCGGUGGAAACCAUCUGGCUAGAGUCCGGAAGAGGAGAGUGGAAUUCCUGGUGUAGCGGUGAAAUGCGCAGAUAUCAGGAGGAACACCCGUGGCGAAAGCGGCUCUCUGGGACGGUACUGACGCUGAGACGCGAAAGCGUGGGGAGCAAACAGG
rnacentral:rRNA from 1 species